GGCAUGCUGGAGGUAUCAGAAGUGCGAAUGCUGACAUAAGUAACGAUAAAGCGGGUGAAAAGCCCGCUCGCCGGAAGACCAAGGGUUCCUGUCCAACGUUAAUCGGGGCAGGGUGAGUCGACCCCUAAGGCGAGGCCGAAAGGCGUAGUCGAUGGGAAACGGGUUAAUAUUCCCGUACUUGGUGUUACUGCGAAGGGGGGACGGAGAAGGCUAUGUUGGCCGGGCGACGGUUGUCCCGGUUUAAGCGUGUAGGUGUGUGUUCCAGGUAAAUCCGGUUCACUUUAACACUGAGGCGUGACGACGAGGCACUACGGUGCUGAAGCAACAAAUGCCCUGCUUCCAGGAAAAGCCUCUAAGCAUCAGGUAACAUCAAAUCGUACCCCAAACCGACACAGGUGGUCAGGUAGAGAAUACCAAGGCGCUUGAGAGAACUCGGGUGAAGGAACUAGGCAAAAUGGUGCCGUAACUUCGGGAGAAGGCACGCUGACACGUAGGUGAAGUGAUUUACUCAUGGAGCUGAAGUCAGUCGAAGAUACCAGCUGGCUGCAACUGUUUAUUAAAAACACAGCACUGUGCAAACACGAAAGUGGACGUAUACGGUGUGACGCCUGCCCGGUGCCGGAAGGUUAAUUGAUGGGGUCAGCGCAAGCGAAGCUCCUGAUCGAAGCCCCGGUAAACGGCGGCCGUAACUAUAACGGUCCUAAGGUAGCGAAAUUCCUUGUCGGGUAAGUUCCGACCUGCACGAAUGGCGUAAUGAUGGCCAGGCUGUCUCCACCCGAGACUCAGUGAAAUUGAACUCGCUGUGAAGAUGCAGUGUACCCGCGGCAAGACGGAAAGACCCCGUGAACCUUUACUAUAGCUUGACACUGAACAUUGAGCCUUGAUGUGUAGGAUAGGUGGGAGGCUUUGAAGUGUGGACGCCAGUCUGCAUGGAGCCGACCUUGAAAUACCACCCUUUAAUGUUUGAUGUUCUAACGUGGACCCGUAAUCCGGGUUGCGGACAGUGUCUGGUGGGUAGUUUGACUGGGGCGGUCUCCUCCUAAAGAGUAACGGAGGAGCACGAAGGUUGGCUAAUCCUGGUCGGACAUCAGGAGGUUAGUGCAAUGGCAUAAGCCAGCUUGACUGCGAGCGUGACGGCGCGAGCAGGUGCGAAAGCAGGUCAUAGUGAUCCGGUGGUUCUGAAUGGAAGGGCCAUCGCUCAACGGAUAAAAGGUACUCCGGGGAUAACAGGCUGAUACCGCCCAAGAGUUCAUAUCGACGGCGGUGUUUGGCACCUCGAUGUCGGCUCAUCACAUCCUGGGGCUGAAGUAGGUCCCAAGGGUAUGGCUGUUCGCCAUUUAAAGUGGUACGCGAGCUGGGUUUAGAACGUCGUGAGACAGUUCGGUCCCUAUCUGCCGUGGGCGCUGGAGAACUGAGGGGGGCUGCUCCUAGUACGAGAGGACCGGAGUGGACGCAUCACUGGUGUUCGGGUUGUCAUGCCAAUGGCACUGCCCGGUAGCUAAAUGCGGAAGAGAUAAGUGCUGAAAGCAUCUAAGCACGAAACUUGCCCCGAGAUGAGUUCUCCCUGAGACUUAGAGUCUCCUGAAGGAACGUUGAAGACGACGACGUUGAUAGGCCGGGUGUGUAAGCGCAGCGAUGCGUUGAGCUAACCGGUACUAAUGAACCGUGAGGCUUAACCUUACA
rnacentral:rRNA from 1 species